CUUCUCUUGAGAGCGGCGGACGGGUGAGUAAUGCCUAGGAAUCUGCCUGGUAGUGGGGGAUAACGUUCGGAAACGGACGCUAAUACCGCAUACGUCCUACGGGAGAAAGCAGGGGACCUUCGGGCCUUGCGCUAUCAGAUGAGCCUAGGUCGGAUUAGCUAGUUGGUGAGGUAAUGGCUCACCAAGGCGACGAUCCGUAACUGGUCUGAGAGGAUGAUCAGUCACACUGGAACUGAGACACGGUCCAGACUCCUACGGGAGGCAGCAGUGGGGAAUAUUGGACAAUGGGCGAAAGCCUGAUCCAGCCAUGCCGCGUGUGUGAAGAAGGUCUUCGGAUUGUAAAGCACUUUAAGUUGGGAGGAAGGGUUGUAGAUUAAUACUCUGCAAUUUUGACGUUACCGACAGAAUAAGCACCGGCUAACUCUGUGCCAGCAGCCGCGGUAAUACAGAGGGUGCAAGCGUUAAUCGGAAUUACUGGGCGUAAAGCGCGCGUAGGUGGUUCGUUAAGUUGGAUGUGAAAGCCCCGGGCUCAACCUGGGAACUGCAUUCAAAACUGACGAGCUAGAGUAUGGUAGAGGGUG
rnacentral:rRNA from 1 species